GUAGGUGGGUUUGUAAGUCAGUUGUGAAAGCCUUCCGCUUAACGGAAGAACGGCAUCUGAUACUACAGGGCUUGAGUACGGGAGGGGAGAGUGGAACUUCUGGUGGAGCGGUGAAAUGCGUAGAUAUCAGAAGGAACGCCGGCGGCGAAAGCGACUCUCUGGUCCGAAACUGACGCUGAGUGUGCGAAAGCUAGGGGAGCAAACGGGAUUAGAUACCCCGGUAGUCCUAGCCGUAAACGAUGGGCACUAAGUAGAGGGGU
rnacentral:rRNA from 1 species